UACAGAGGUCUCAAGCGUUGUUCGGAUUCACUGGGCGUAAAGGGUGUGUAGGCGGUAAGGUAAGUUUGGUGUGAAAGCUUCGGGCUUAACCCGAAAAUAGCACUGAAUACUAUCUUGCUUGAGGAUUGGAGAGGGGACUGGAAUUCUCGGUGUAGCAGUGAAAUGCGUAGAUAUCGAGAGGAACACCAGUAGCGAAGGCGAGUCCCUGGACAAUUCCUGACGCUGAGGCACGAAAGCCAGGGGAGCAAACGGG
rnacentral:rRNA from 1 species